rnacentral:rRNA from 1 species
UGGGGAAUAUUGCACAAUGGGCGGAAGCCUGAUGCAGCGACGCCGCGUGAGGGAUGACGGCCUUCGGGUUGUAAACCUCUUUCAGCAGGGACGAAGCGAGAGUGACGGUACCUGCAGAAGAAGCGCCGGCCAACUACGUGCCAGCAGCCGCGGUAAGACGUAGGGCGCGAGCGUUGUCCGGAUUUAUUGGGCGUAAAGAGCUCGUAGGCGGCUUGUCGCGUCGAAUGUGAAAUCCUGCGGCUCAACUGCAGGCUUGCAUUCGAUACGGGCAGGCUCGAGUUCGGUAGGGGAGACUGGAAUUCCUGGUGUAGCGGUGAAAUGCGCAGAUAUCAGGAGGAACACCGGUGGCGAAGGCGGGUCUCUGGGCCGAUACUGACGCUGAGGAGCGAAAGCGUGGGGAGCGAACA